UCGCCGAAAGAUCGGCCCGCGUCUGAUUAGCUAGUUGGUGAGGUAAUGGCUCACCAAGGCGACGAUCAGUAGCUGGUCUGAGAGGAUGAUCAGCCACAUUGGGACUGAGACACGGCCCAA
rnacentral:rRNA from 1 species